UCAACACUGAGUGAUGGCUGUACUGUUGAAGACAAGAAUCUCAGCAGGUUUUCUCAUUCUCUCAUUCAUAAGAUGUGGGUAUUGCUGACAACAUCUCCAUUCCGAAUUCCGAAACACCUCAGAACUGAGGAGGCAAUUAGAAGUCAAGCACACUGGUUCAUUUAAUAUGCCAAUUCAAAUUUCCCACUUGCCAGUGGGUAGGAUCUGAACUCUCGUCUCGGGGCUAAUCAUUUGGCUCUAUUGCUGUAAGUCCGGCAGCUUAACCACUACACCACUACAGAUAUGCCACCAGCAUGGCACCACCUGUGUGAGCAGCAGGGUCAAGUACUGGCUCAGGGUAGCAGCACCACAAGACUUAAAUAGACUAGAGUGGAGUAAAACCUGGCAGGCUGCUGAAUCUCCAGGUGGAAUUUAAAAGGAAGUGAGACUAUGGUUACUGACAGGACACAGUCACACAGAAGCUCUACACCCGAAGAGCCAAGUGGAAAAGAGGAUGGGGCAUUUGAAGAUGGUGCACUGACUUUCUGACUUAGUGUCUACAACCGAUUUAUUUAUUUGUUUUGAUAUACAGCGUGUUCGUCGGCCAUUCCAGCCCACUGAGCCUGCACUACCAUGUGACCAAGUACUCUAGUGACCAGAGUGUCCUUGGAACGUGGAAGGUAACUGGAGCUCCCAGAUGAGAUCCAUCCAUCAUGGGCAGAGCGUACAAACUGCUUACAAACAGGUCAAACAAUAACAAAAUGGUUACAGGUCCGAAGAAGACUAUUCAGCCUAUCAGACUCAAUGCCAAAGCAGACAAGCUAGUCUCACCCCACCAUCUUCUCCUCAUGAGCUUAGUUAUCAGAAAAGAAAUCACGCUGCUAAAGAUUCUCAUGCCUGCGUUGGUUUGCCGGAGCCAGGACCUCCAAGGAGUCCCAGAAUUCAAAGGUCAACUGAAGGCGUAACCAAUCAGGACCAAUCAGAAAGCAAACUGGGGUCUAUAUAAAUGCAAGCACUCCCGGAGAGAAACACCAACAACUGCACACUGGGAAUGUCACCUCGCCUGGUGCUGAAACGUCUGCAAGCUAAUUACCAAGCUCGCCGAAUAUCAUAUAGGGAGAAUAUAACGGGAACAGUGUAAAUAGGUGCCCAAUAGUUACUGGGGAUUUGGUGGACCAAGGACUCUACUUUUGUGCUGCAUGGCUCUAUCACAUACAGAAGUGAAGUCUAAUCUCUGGAAUCAAGAAGGAAAAAGUUAAUAUUCUCCCAUCCAGCUCUCCUUAACAAUUACGCUUUUUACUGACAUUCAGAAUGUUGUCUUGCUGCAUUUACCAUUGCAACCCCCUCCCUCCCUCUGCCCCUUUCGAAGUGACCUUUCCACAGUGUGUGUCUGCACCAGUCAGCUCUGUGAUGAAUAGCUAGUCUAGAUCCCCUCUGUACCAAGCACGCACAGCUGUCUCAUUCUUUAUUAAGCAAAAAAUAUCGGGGACCUUGCCAGGGCAUAAGUCGCCACUUCUCUUACAGGGACCAGCUGCAAGAUAUCUUGGCCAAAAGCGACAGAUUCCAGUUUCUUUUUAUAUAAAAAAAAAUUGACAUUUAAAUAGCUUUGUGGACAAUAAGACUUGGUUCCAUCAGCACUGCUCCCAUUCAAGUAUUAACCCUCUCAUACUGGAACAAAAAAAAAGAGACAUCAGGACCUGUGGCUCUCUUCUCCUGUCCCCUCACCACAGCAUCCUCACUCCCACAAUAGGAGGCAGAGUUGGCAUGGCACCAGGCAUGCAAGGGCAAUAAAGUAACGCUAGUGAACUGCAAUAAGAGAAGAAAAAUACAAGUCAGAGAGUCACAUGGUGCCUGGUGGGGGCAGGGGGACAGCGAGCAUCGAUUCCACAUUAGCGUGAGUCACCAAUUAGAAGAUUUAGAAGAAGAUUAGAUUUAUUUGUUGUACAUACAUCAAAACAGUGAGACAUACAAUGAAAUGCAGCAGUUACUUCAAAUCAAAUUACGAAGGGCUGGGCUGGGCAGUUUGCAAGUAUUGCCAUGCUUCUGCCACCAGCGUAGCGUGCCCACAACUCACUAACCCUAACCGUGCUUCCCUGGACCGUGGAAGGAAACCGGAAUGCCUAAAUAGAAUGAAAGGUGAGAUUUACUCAGGGCCCCUUUCGCCAUUGGGGUCUGAGUGCCAUGUAAACUUUUUGGGCAUGUAUGAAAAGCUUCCCAUGGAUUCUUCAUCAGGAUCAGCCUGUCGCAAACAAGUGACACAACCAGACAUUCCAGGAGAAGCAGAAAUUGACAUGCACGUUCUGGUGUACUGCAUACUGCCCCUACAUUGGACUAAAUUGAACUAAAUACAGGCUGGUGAUUGUUUUGAGGAGUACCUAUGAUUAGUCCGCAGGGAUGCACCAGCAGUUCCUGUCAUUCUCAAUCCCACUCCCAUUCUACCCUGUUAGUUUAUAAUUUUCCCCACUGGCUUAAGAAAGGUCCAACACAGACUUGAAAGAAAACAUUUUAUCUUCAAUCUACGUGUUUCUCAAACUUCUAAAAUCAACCUUGAAUUUUCAGGUAAACUACUCCCUCAUUACCCUGCUUGCUCUCCUAAUGGUUGGUACUCAUGCUCCUUAUCAUCUACAACUCUUGUUCUCAGUAUUUCAUGCUUUUAUUUGCACAUGUUGUCUUAUUGGUUGUUGGCCAGUCUUUGUUUGUGUGUAGUGUUACAUUGAUUUUAAUUUUUAUUGUAUUUAGAGAAAUGCAAUAAAAGAGCCCUUCUGGCCCUUCAAUCUGCACAGUUCAGCAAACCCCAAUUUAACCCUCAACUAAUCAUGUGAAAAUUUACAAUGACUAGUUACCCUACUAACCAGUACUUCUUUGGACUGCGGGAAGAAGCCAAAGGACCCAGAGAAAACCCACACAUUCCAUGGGGAGGACGUAUAGACUCCUUACAGAUAACGUCGGAAUUGAACUCUGAUCUCUGACACCCCAAACAGUAGUAGCACCACGCUAAUUGCUACACUGGCAUUAACGUUCUACUGUGAAUGCCUGCAAUGAAAAUUAAUCUUUAAGUCAUAAAUGGUUACAUAUACAUACUUUGAUAAUAAAUUUACUUUGAACUUUGGUAUUUCCAAAUCAUUCAUCAUACAGUCUUUGGUCUUGCAUCUCACUUCUCCUUUAGUUCGGCUUUUGAAACUAUAAACCAAUCACUCUCCCUCAAUACUCAGUACUGAGGGUCAUUAACUGGUU